rnacentral:sRNA from 1 species
GCGGAUUCCACAUUUGUCCCGGCCGGCGCUUCGUCUCCUUUGAGAUCAAGUCCUUUCUCGCCCAACUGCUUCGACGAUACGACAUGAAACUGGCCGAGAA